CAAGGGUUGUGCUUGGGAAAAGUUGGACCUGUUAAUUAGAAGUAAAAUAUUUCCAAAUCAAUUUGGAAAUGACGUGAAGUGUGAGGGAAAGGGAUUCAUGAAAUUUAGGUAUAGGAGGCCCUGGAAAAGGACAUUUAUCCUAGAGGGCACAGGGGGUGUCUCUCUGGUAGGGGAAGGGUGGGGAGGUGGCUUUAUAAGAGUGGUCUGCCUUCUCCCUUUCUCACUUUUCCUCACCCCUUUUCUCUCUUCCCCCGCAAAGCUGCUUCCCUGCCCUGCCACCACCUUUAGUGCUUUGUCUUUUUUCCCCUUUGCCCAUGCUCAGCUGUUAACCCAUAAAGACUUCGUUGAUUUUGUGUGCAUAGUGGAUGGUAUGGCUGCAUUAAUCCCUUCACUGCCUGUAUACCCUAGAAUUUGUCCCUGACACUGACUUCAGAGCAUGGUUUGAGUUCAUCUCCCAUCAUUCCCCAUUGUUGUGCUUCCCGUAAAAACUGCCAGCUUUAUCAUUUCCCCUGGCUCUGCCCACACUGCAUGUGUAGGGGCUGAACUAUGGGCAAGUGUCUGACCACCCAGGCAGGUGAGUGUGUGUCUUCUAAUGCAAGUCUGUUUCUGUUUUUGUUGUCUUUUUAAACUCAUAGAAUUGAUUGUUGAAAAUAAGACCAUCAACUGCUAAAACAACUACUAAAAUAAUUCUUUUUAAUAUAAAAAUAACUUUGUCAAAUUCACUUUCAGAAGAUUUUUCAGAUGUCCCUGUUGAGAGCAUUGUUCUAGAUAGGUUAUAUUUGAAACUGUGAGCAGAAGCAUGUGAGCCCAUCUGCUAUGAUGAGUAAUAGUCAUUGAGGCCUGAAACAUACAGUGCUUUAAGCAUGACUGUUAUUACAAAGCAUGCUUCUCCCACCCCACCCACCCCCUCAAAGAAGGUAGCCAUUGAAACAUAAGGAUGAUAGAUAGAAUGUAUUACUUCAAAUCUAACUCUUAGCUGGUGGAGGAUUUAGUAAUUUAGUUGCUUUAGGUCUUGUAAAAGCUCCUGCCCCUAACUUUAGGAGAUGAGAAGUUUGACCCUUAAUGUUCUUGAUAUUUUUUUAGAUCAACUCCACAAUUUACUGUGAUCCAAUCUAUCUGCUUUCUAUCUGUUGUGCUCUAUGAUUGGUUCUCAUUUACCUUCAUUUCUGUAUUCUACUUUCCUUAAACUUUAAGGAAAUCUAAUCACAACUCCUGAAGACUUAUCUUUCUUAGAUCUGAAACUUAAGAUCAGUGUAUUAUAAAAUGGAAUCUCUUAGCAGUCACAGCUACAUAAAUUGGGAUUUUAAUAGUUGUCUGUGCUUUGAAUUCUUUUCCUUUAAAUGUCUGUUUCUUUUAUGUAAAGUUUUUCAGUUUGGGGAACGUGUAGUCUUCCCCUCCCUUUUAAUUUCUCACCAGGAUCUAAACCCCCCUUCUCUGUGAAGCUUAAAUCUGCAUUGUACUCUCCCUCCUCCCCCCAUCAGUAUCCAGCAGGUUACCCUUCAGACAAAGAAGGGAAGAAGCCUAAAGGACAGUCAAAGAAGCAGCCCAGUGGAACCACAAAAAGGCCAAUUUCAGAUGAUGACUGUCCAAGUGCCUCCAAAGUGUACAAAGCAUCAGAUUCAGCAGAAGCAAUUGAGGCUUUUCAACUAACUCCUCAACAGCAGCAUCUCAUCAGAGAAGAUUGUCAAAACCAGAAGCUGUGGGAUGAAGUGCUUGCACAUCUUGUGGAAGGACCAAAUUUUCUGAAAAAAUUGGAACAAUCUUUUAUGUGCGUUUGCUGUCAGGAGCUAGUUUACCAGCCUGUGACAACUGAGUGCUUCCACAAUGUCUGUAAAGAUUGCCUACAGCGCUCUUUUAAGGCACAGGUUUUCUCCUGCCCUGCUUGCCGGCAUGAUCUUGGCCAGAAUUACAUCAUGAUUCCCAAUGAGAUUCUGCAGACUCUACUUGACCUUUUCUUCCCUGGCUACAGCAAAGGACGAUGAUCUGCCUGCUUUCACUGUGUUGUUCAUGGUGGCUUUUUGGACAAUAAAGAAUCUAAAAUGGGUGGGGAGGGUGGAAGAAAUGGUGGACUGUAUCUCUCACGUUCUGAAGCAGCUAAUCCUCUUUCCCACAUAGCCAUCAUCUUGUGUGUGUAGUAAGAGGCCCAUUUCUCAACUGUCUUUUAAAUAUCUAAAGGUAGUUCCUGUAACAACUAGUUUUAAUGAGUAAAAAGUCAAAGCCUCAGCUCUAGUUGAUAUCCAAGUUAUGAUUUAUUUUGCAACUACCUCAGGACAGAAAAGAUUUAUGGGGAUUUUAAAAAUCAUUGAAUAACUAGUUAAAUGAAAUUUUAGCUACACACUGCCUCCCAAAUAUUAGUUGUGCCUGGUUCUUGUAAUUUGAUUUUACAGAAAAGGAAAUGACACUUGAGAUCCUUGGAAUGAACACAGCUUCUAAAGUGUGCAUAUACUUUUUUAACGUCUCUUCUUCCAUUACAAUGUGUGUUUGCAAGGACAGGUUCAUUUUUUUUAGCCCACUUUGUGAACUCCAUUGUGCUUUUUUCUGGUGUUUUAUGCAAGUUGACUACUAAUGACUAAUGAGAACAAUAAUGAAUGCAUUGUUGCUGCAUUAGUGUAAUGUGGUGUGGUUUUGCACUUAAAAGAGGUAUUCAUAUGCUCUAGUUGUAAAUGUUCAUGAAAAUCCACUUCUGUACUAGUCGAACUGCUUUUAGUGUCUCACCAGUGGUUUUACAUCUGCAGAGUUUUGAGGGCUGUGCUGACCUUUGAGAGGAUUUGAAAUUGCUUCAUAUUGUGAUCCUAAAUUUUAUAUUCACUAUAUUCCCUAAAGUAUACCUUAAUAAAUAUUUUAUGAUCAGAAGAA
rnacentral:sRNA from 1 species